rnacentral:lncRNA from 1 species
UCAAAGAUUUGCUGAGCUUGGAAGGUUGUUCUCUAAAGUACGAAGGUGACUUCUACGUGUGAAGAAGAUGAAGGUGUCAUCUACAUUCUUUAACUUGCUUUCCUGCGUGGUCGUUCCUUUAUCUAUUAUUUGUGGUCAAGUUCUAUUUUCUUGUAUUCCUCCCUUUUUCUUCUUCGCUCUUUUUUUUUUUUUUGUGUGUGUGUGUGUGUGGAAUGCACUGGUUGAGCGUCGCCUAAAUUUGGUUGUGCUUUUCAGGAGACGAGGGUGACGACCAUCGCAUUCAUACGACAAAAUCUAUUUGUGCAACUUCUUCAUCUACCCUUCCUUUGAUAGGGGAAAUCGAAGCCUAUGAGUGGACAUUUUCAUCCGAGCAUGUGUGUGCCGAGAAUAUGGAUAUGGAUGAUCAGGCAUAUUUGUGUCCAAUGAUGUUGUUGUUGCAUCUGAUGGUGAAGUCAAAGCCGGUAAUGACAAUGUCGAUGCUAGUAGGGAAUGUGUUAUGAGAUUUUCCUAUUUUGGGGGUAUGGAUGAUUUGCCUGAUGGAGAGGUUGAAGUGAAUGGUGAGGAAAAUAGCGGAAACACGGUUCCGAUGCUAGUAGGACCCCGACUGUUAAUGUGUUUUUGCAUUACUUCUUUGUUUGCCAAAAUCCUAAGGUAGAUAUGUCUUUGAGCGAUGUCUGCGCCGGGGUCUCUUGGCUACCUAUUCCAACAGCAUCAAAUCCUUUAAAGACCGAUUUUUUCGUGCUAAUUAUCCAUAUAGCAGUGAAAUAUAUAAAAUAGCUUGUAAGAUUUCAUCUUCUUUUUAUAAUUAGUUAUCGUAGGACAUUCAAGUUAUAUUAAAUUUCACUCAUUUUUUUUUACUUUAUUAUUAGCAUGUUUUCUUUUCAUAUUUUU